UUGAUGGCAAGAAUCCUAGGCACCUGAUGAGCGUAGGGGGACUGAGUAACAUGGCCAAAAAUCACAGCCGUACUGGCAGCGUUUUUUCUAAAAUCAAUAUACAGAACAACAGGAAGUGGUCAAGAUCUGACUUUUAGUAAUAUA